GACGAACGCUGGCGGCGUGCUUAACACAUGCAAGUCGAACGGAAAGGCCCUGCUUUUGUGGGGUGCUCGAGUGGCGAACGGGUGAGUAACACGUGAGUAACCUGCCCUUGACUUUGGGAUAACUUCAGGAAACUGGGGCUAAUACCGGAUAGGAGCUCCUGCUGCAUGGUGGGGGUUGGAAAGUUUCGGCGGUUGGGGAUGGACUCGCGGCUUAUCAGCUUGUUGGUGGGGUAGUGGCUUACCAAGGCUUUGACGGGUAGCCGGCCUGAGAGGGUGACCGGCCACAUGGGGAGUGGGAUAGGGCCCAAACGCCUAGGGGGGGGAGGGGGGGGAAAUUGUGCAAAAGGGGGGGAAGCCUGAUGCAACAACGCCGCAGGGGGGAGGACGGCCUUCGGGGUGUAAACCGCUUUCGCCUGUAACAAAGGGUGGGGGGGGGAAAUGGGUAAAAAAGCACCGGCUAACUACGG
rnacentral:rRNA from 1 species